rnacentral:rRNA from 1 species
AUUGAACGCUGGCGGCAGGCCUAACACAUGCAAGUCGAACGAGUGGCGGACGGGUGUGUAAUGUCUGGGAAACUGCCUGAUGGAGGGGGAUAACUACUGGAAACGGUAGCUAAUACCGCAUACCAUCAGAUGUGCCCAUAUGGGUUGCGAUUGUUGGUGGGGUAACGGCUCACAAAGGCGACGCUCCCUAGCUGGUCUGAGAGGAUGACCAGCCACACUGUAACGGAGACACGGUCCAGACUCCUACGUGAGGCAGCAGUGGGGAAUAUUGCACAAUGGGCGCAAGCCUGAUGCAGCCAUGCCGCGUGUAUGAAGAAGGCCUUCGGGUUGUAAAGUACUUUCAGCGGGGAGGCGUUACCCGCAGAAGAAGCACCGGCUAACUCCGUGCCAGCAGCCGCGGUAAUAC